rnacentral:rRNA from 1 species
AAUGUUUGGCGGUACUGGUCUUGAAGGAGGUACUGGUACGAGCGGCAUAUAUUGGUCCCAGCGCAGGGGAGGGAGAGAAGUGGUUGGGCUCAUUCGUUCGUUCGUUUCGGUGUCUCGCACGCACGUUCUUUCGUAGCCGGUGGCCUCGACGACGUCCUUAGUAGGGGCAGAUGUUGGUUAGCUCAUACCUGUUCCACGACCGGAAGAGGUAGGACUCGCGCAGCGGCCGGCUGCAGCGGGGGCCGCGGCCGCGGUCGACCCGAGCCAAGAGAACCGUCCCCUCCUUCGACGCCCUGCUGCUUGUCCGGUCUCGUCCCGUUCUCCCCUUCGUCCCGCCAGGCGGCCGCCUCCGCCUCGUCGUCGGCCUGUUCCCCUCUAGCGUCAGCGGCGGCUGCAACGCCGGCGCCAAGCGCGGCCUCAAGCUGCCCUAGCUGACGAAGCUCUGGUAGCACACGGCGACUACUUUAUGUCUCGAUGACAUAUUUCUUUGGGUAAAGCGGCACUAAUAAACCUAUUCGAAACCAAAAAUUCCGAACUACUCUGCAGUACUGCCUCGUCUCUACAA